CUAACCUGGUUGAUCCUGCCAGUAGUCAUAUGCUUGUCUCAAAGAUUAAGCCAUGCAUGUCCAAGUAUAAACCAUUUAUACGGUGAAACUGCGAAUGGCUCAUUAAAUCAGUUAUAAUUUAUUUGAUCGUAACUUACUACUUGGAUAACCGUGGUAAUUCUAUGGCUAAUACAUGCUCAAAGGCCGCAAGGUCU
rnacentral:rRNA from 1 species